GCGAAAACUUUACAAUGCGAGCAAUCGUGAUAAGGGAACUCCGAGUGCCUGUAAAAUCAGGCUGUCCGCCAGUGUAAAUAACUGGUGAAGAAAGGGCCGGGCAAGACCGGUGCCAGCCGCCGCGGUAACACCGGCGGCUCGAGUGGUAACCGUUAUUAUUGGGUCUAAAGGGUCUGUAGCCGGCCGGAUAAGUCUCUUGAGAAAUCUGGCAGCUUAACUGUCAGGCUUUCAGGAGAUACUGUCUGGCUCGAGGCCGGGAGAGGUGAGAGGUACUUCAGGGGUAGGGGUGAAAUCUUGUAAUCCUUGAAGGACCACCAGUGGCGAAGGCGUCUCACCAGAACGGACCUGACGGCAAGGGACGAAAGCUAGGGGCACGAACC
rnacentral:rRNA from 1 species